AUUUCACUCUGUGAAAUUAUAUCUUGUAUCUCUGUUCUUCCAUGAUUACAACUGGAAUCAUGUCAUUGCUACAUAAUUAUAUUUGUUUCACUUUUCAGCUCCUGAAAAGCCUCCGAUGAACUUGCGACUGGGGACAGUUACAAAUACAACAGCACACAUAUCUUGGGACCCUCCUCCUCCCGAAUCGCACAAUGGGGUCAUUAGCUAUUAUGAAAUUAAUUAUAGUUCCUUAACGUACAACACUUCUUUGAAUGAAACUGAGGCACUCCUCACCAACUUAAAAAGUCAUAAAGUUUACUCUGUGACUGUUAGCGCUUGUACCAAAUCUUGCUCAAAACCAUCCGCCAGCUUGAAGUUCAAGACAAAUAUUGGAAUGCCUGGAGAGAUACAGCAACCAAUCGUAAGGUUCACCAACAGCACCAAGCCCUUGUUUCCUGGUUACCUCCGACUCUCAAGGGAGGCAAUCUCGAUUUUUACGAUAUUGAAAUCAGCGAUGAUGACAGAAGAAAUUCAACUUUCAUCAUCCGCCAAGCUAACAGAACAGAAACCCUGGUGAGCUGUCCCAAUGGCAAAACAAAAACGAAGGAAGUCAGAGUACGAGCAGUCAACACUGAUGGCAACAUGACGUACAUUGGACCAUGGUCCUCACCUGGUACCGUUGCAUGCAUAGUAUCAGGAAUGUCUCCAUUCAUGUUGGGUCUGAUUUACAUCUUCUUCUUCACAAUUUUUGCUGGCUGUGCCGUCUGGGCUGGAAAAACGAGUUGGUACCGCUGUGCAAAAAUGAAAGAUUUUGAUGUGAAACUGCCACCUAGUCUGAAUGCCAUUUGUGAUGACAAGAACAAGGAGCAGCAUGAGUGUUCCUUACCAAUGCAGAACUGGUCUGGACAUUCCAGAAAAGAUGAGCAUGCAGCGAAAGCAGAAUCUUGUGCUGAUGAAGAGCUACUCCUCCAGAAGAAAGAAAUUGGCUCUGAAAAUGAUGAUGCUGCAGAGGACUCAGAAAGCAAGCACGAAACAGUCUUUCAAGGAGACAGUCCUACUAUUUCAAACAGUGAUAACAAUCACAGCUCAACAAAAUCUGUUCCGAAAUCAAAUGAGAAUUACUCGGAUAAGAAAGAUGUUGGUGAGGGCUCCACAUCUAAAGGAAACUCAUCAGAUCGAGAUCUGACAUAUUGCAAAGUUGGAGGUGGCUACGUUUCAAUCGCCCCUAUAUCAGGACCUUCAUCUGCACCUCAGCCUGCUCCAACGAUUAUCGAGAACCCAUAUGUUCCCAAUCACUUUGAAAACCCUACUGUCAGUAGUUACGUCAAAGCUUUCAACAUACCAAACCCCUCGCAGCUGUACUGUCGAAUCGGUUUGGGUCCUCCCGAUAUGCAAACGAUGCCUGAUGCUGGAACAAAAUUACUCCUGAAUCCUGAGCCGAGGUAUGUCACCGUCGGAGAGAGCAUCAAGUUAAACAGGGAAAAGAAUUCUGUAUCAACUUAG
rnacentral:lncRNA from 1 species